rnacentral:rRNA from 1 species
AUUGAACGCUGGCGGCAGGCCUAACACAUGCAAGUCGAGCGGAUGAAGGGAGCUUGCUCCUGGAUUCAGCGGCGGACGGGUGAGUAAUGCCUAGGAAUCUGCCUGGUAGUGGGGGAUAACGUCCGGAAACGGGCGCUAAUACCGCAUACGUCCUGAGGGAGAAAGUGGGGGAUCUUCGGACCUCACGCUAUCAGAUGAGCCUAGGUCGGAUUAGCUAGUUGGUGGGGUAAAGGCCUACCAAGGCGACGAUCCGUAACUGGUCUGAGAGGAUGAUCAGUCACACUGGAACUGAGACACGGUCCAGACUCCUACGGGAGGCAGCAGUGGGGAAUUUUGGACAAUGGGCGAAAGCCUGAUCCAGCCAUGCCGCGUGUGGGAAGAAGGUCUUCGGAUUGUAAAGCACUUUUAGUUGGGAGGAAGGGCAGUAAGUUAAUACCUUGCUGUUUUGACGUUACCAACAGAAUAAGCACCGGCUAACUUCGUG